UCUAAAUAUACCCGUGUGUGUACCCGUGUGCGUGCGUGUGUGCGCGCGCGUACUCGCGCGUGUGUGUGUAUGUAUGUAUGUAUGCGCGUGCGUCUGUGUAUUUUGAAUUUAAAAUGUUAUAACUCGGAAGGAUCUGGAUCACAGGUCAUUUCAUCUGAGAUCAAUCCGCAUGCAACAGCUGGAAUCACUUACUGAUUCACACAAGGAAGGACACAAGUCAGCCGUUUCCUCAAGUUCACGUCAGAGCGGAGAUGAUGUGAGAGAGGCAGACCAGAAGGAUACAUAGCGAGACAGUCUCCGCUUGGACUGGCUGAGGAAAGUCUCCUAAAUGGCCCUGGAGAUGUUCUGACUGACUUUGGAGGCUUUUUGGACUGUUUUAUGCCCUCUAUUUAAAGAAGACUUAAUUCUGUAUGUUCAGUCUGUAUGAUAAGUGAAUAAGUGAAUAAAAAGCUUUUGUUUUUAUGUGA